AAAAGGAGGCGAAGCCCCGGCCUCUGCAUCGAAGGAUGCAUACGGCCAUAUAUUAAAAACGAUCCCAAUUCAUCGAAUAGUACAAAUAGUCUCCAAAAAAAAGAGAGAGAAAGAUACACGGCGUCCAACUCGCCACAACCGGGGUGCAUAAAAAUAAGCCUAGAUGACUAACCACCUAUCCUAUUAAUAUGACGCCAUCCAAACCGGUUGAAGAUAACCCGAGCUACCAUCUCCCAUCGGACACACCCAGUAACCAAAGGCUCUCUGGCUUUCACAGGAGUGAGUAAUGACCAUGUGCGGAUCAAGGCAGUAGCCCUGAAAAUGACCU
rnacentral:lncRNA from 1 species